GGUCCGAUGGUGUAGUUGGUUAUCACUUCUGUCUAACAUUAAUCUCCUAAUGGGGAUAUGUCGCACAGGCGGUCCUCAGUUCGAACCUGGGUCGGAUCA